UACAGAGGUGGCAAGCGUUGUUCGGAAUUACUGGGCGUAAAGGGCGCGUAGGCGGUCCGAUAAGUCCCGUGUGAAAUCCCUCGGCUCAACUGAGGAAUGGCACGGGAAACUGCCGGGCUGAGUUCGGGAGAGGGAAGCGGAAUUCCGGGGUGUAGCGGUGAAAUGCGUAGAUAUUCGGAAGAACACCAGUGGCGAAGGCGGCUCACUGGCCCGGUACUGACGCUGAGUGCGAAAGCGUGGGGAGCAAACAGG
rnacentral:rRNA from 1 species